GAUGAACGCUAGCGGCAGGCCUAACACAUGCAAGUCGAGGGGUAGAAGUUUUCGGACUUUGAGACCGGCGCACGGGUGCGUAACGCGUAUGCAAUCUGCCUUGUACUGGGGGAUAGCACAGAGAAAUUUGGAUUAAUACCCCAUAGUAUUUUCGGUUGGCAUCAACUGAUUCUUAAAGUUUUUCGGUCCAAGAUGAGCAUGCGUCCCAUUGGCUAGUUGGUAUGGUAACGGCAUACCAAGGCUACGAUGGGUAGGGGUCCUGAGAGGGAGAUCCCCCACACUGGUACUGAGACACGGACCAGACUCCUACGGGAGGCAGCAGUGAGGAAUAUUGGUCAAUGGUCGCAAGACUGAACCAGCCAUGCCGCGUGCAGGAUGAAGCAUCUAUGGUGUGUAAACUGCUUUUGUACGGGAAGAAACACUGCUACGUGUAGCAGCUUGACGGUACCGUAAGAAUAAGGAUCGGCUAACUCCGUGCCAGCAGCCGCGGUAAAAC
rnacentral:rRNA from 1 species